rnacentral:lncRNA from 1 species
GCAUUUCUCAUUUGACAUUAGCUGCCCAGCUUUCCGCUGAUACGUUGACUCCAGGAGGCUCCUUGAGUUCUGAGUGUUUGGCUGGCCUCUGGUGGCCCCAUUAUUAUUUUCUGCCAGGUGAAGGUCAGUCACCUGCACACAGAUCUCAUUACUCAUGAUAUGCUGCAGCUGGAAUCAAAGGCAAGCUGUUAGUGAACACAAAACAUUUCUCCAUUACACAGUCAACGUUCCUUUGACUCAAAAAAGGUUUUGUUUUUUUUUUGGCUGGCAAUUUUAGAAAAUUCAUCACACAAACCACUGUAUCAUUUUCUCGGACAAUAAUCAAGCCAAGAUUUUCAACCAUAUCUGUGGUCCAUUGUAAAACUUUCAUCUCUAUUUAAAAUAAAAAUCAUAGAGAACUCAGGUUAA